AUACGGAGGAUGCGAGCGUUAUCCGGAUUUAUUGGGUUUAAAGGGUGCGCAGGCGGGCGAUUAAGUCAGCGGUGAAAGGCUCGGGCGCAACCGGAGCAGUGCCUCCCGAACUGGGGGACUUGCAUGACUCUGCCGUGGGAGGAAUGUGUAGUGUAGCGGUGAAAUGCUUAGAUAUGCCACAGAACACCGAUAGCGAAGGCAGCUGGCCGGGCCUGCAUUGACGCUGAGGCACGAAAGCGUGGGGAUCGAACAGGAUUAGAUACCCUGGUAGUCCACGCUGUAAACGAUGGACACUCGUUGUCGGCGACAGACAGUCGGCGGCCAAGCGAAAGUGAUAAGUGUCCCACCUGGGGAGUACGGUCGCAAGGCUGAAACUUAAAGGAAUUGACGGGG
rnacentral:rRNA from 1 species